rnacentral:rRNA from 1 species
GUCCUUAGUUACCAGCACGUUAUGUGGGCACUCUAAGGAGACUGCCGGUGACAAACCGGAGGAAGUGGGGAUGACGUCAAGUCAUCAUGGCCCUUACGGCCUGGGCUACACACGUGCUACAAUGGUCGGUACAAAGGGUUGCCAAGCCGCGAGGUGGAGCUAAUCCCAUAAAACCGAUCGUAGUCCGGAUCGCAGUCUGCAACUCGACUGCGUGAAGUCGGAAUCGCUAGUAAUCGUGAAUCAGAAUGUCACGGUGAAUACGUUCCCGGGCCUU